GUUUAAGAGACAGCAGCAGCCGCGGUAAUACGGAGGAUCCAAGCGUUAUCCGGAAUUAUUGGGUUUAAAGGGUCCGUAGGCGGUCUUGUAAGUCAGUGGUGAAAGCCCAUCGCUCAACGGUGGAACGGCCAUUGAUACUGCAGGACUUGAAUUAUUGGGAAGUAACUAGAAUAUGUAGUGUAGCGGUGAAAUGCUUAGAGAUUACAUGGAAUACCAAUUGCGAAGGCAGGUUACUACCAAUUGAUUGACGCUGAUGGACGAAAGCGUGGGUAGCGAACAGGAUUAGAUACCCGCGUAGUCCCUGUCUCUUAUAA
rnacentral:rRNA from 1 species